rnacentral:snRNA from 1 species
UUCUCCUAAGGGAGGAAC